UGUUCAGCAGUGUUACGUUGGUGAGUUC
rnacentral:piRNA from 1 species